CUCGGUCGCUGGACGCUGCAGCGCAGCCCCGCCCCGCCCAUCUAAGAGACUUGGAACCAGCAGUUGCGGGCCAGUCUUAGACCUGAAAGGCAGAAGGUCCCAAAAAGCUUAACUAAUGGACAGGAGUUUGUUAUUUCUCUACUAUUGUGAAAAGAAGGCACAAAAUGAUCACAUUCCAUGUUUCCUUGGAGAGCUGCAGCCAGUGAGGAAGAUCCCUGCCUUGAUUUAUUUAAUUGUUCAUCUAUUGUUAUUAGAUAAAUUUACAUAAAGAAUGCUGGAUCUAAAAA